UACGUAGGGGGCAAGCGUUAUCCGGAUUCACUGGGUGUAAAGGGAGCGUAGACGGCCAUGCAAGCCUGGAGUGAAAGCCCGGGGCCCAACCCCGGGACUGCUCUGGGAACUGUGCGGCUGGAGUGCGGGAGGGGCAGGCGGAAUUCCUGGUGUAGCGGUGUAAUGCGUAGAUAUCAGGAGGAACACCGGCGGCGAAGGCGGCCUGCUGGACCGCGACUGACGUUGAGGCUCGAAAGCGUGGGGAGCAAACAGG
rnacentral:rRNA from 1 species